rnacentral:rRNA from 1 species
AACGAACGCUGGCGGCAUGCCUAACACAUGCAAGUCGAACGAGACCUUCGGGUCUAGUGGCGCACGGGUGCGUAACGCGUGGGAACCUGCCCUUAGCUUCGGAAUAACUCCCCGAAAGGGGUGCUAAUACCGGAUAAUGUCUUUGGACCAAAGAUUUAUCGCCUUUGGAUGGGCCCGCGUUGGAUUAGCUAGUUGGUAGGGUAAAAGCCUACCAAGGCGACGAUCCAUAGCUGGUCUGAGAGGAUGAUCAGCCACACUGGGACUGAGACACGGCCCAGACUCCUACGGGAGGCAGCAGUGGGGAAUAUUGGACAAUGGGCGAAAGCCUGAUCCAGCAAUGCCGCGUGAGUGAUGAAGGCCUUAGGGUUGUAAAGCUCUUUUACCCGGGAUGAUAAUGACAGUACCGGGAGAAUAAGCUCCGGCUAACUCCGUG